GGGGGCUUCAAGUGGAUCAGUUCAUAAAAUGUUAAUAUUAGCGUAGCGGAGUGAGGACGACCAGGCAGCAAACUCAUUUGAAACACAGCUUUAUAAAGUCAGGCAUAAAAGUUAAGUUACUUUUUCUUAGACUCUUUUGCAGACAGAUGCCACAAAAAGCUUCUGUAGGUUCAUGUAGCAAACCUAUGCCAAAGUCUACAUACGUAGCUGAUAUUUCCGACCAAUACUUGUCAUGCAAAAGUGCACCACAUGAUUUUUAAUCACUUGCCGUAAGAAGAU